ACGCUCGACACCUACGGGAAGCAGCAGUGGGGAAUAUUGCACAAUGGGGGAAACCCUGAUGCAGCGACGCCGCGUGAGCGAAGAAGUAUUUCGGUAUGUAAAGCUCUAUCAGCAGGGAAGAAACUGACGGUACCUGACUAAGAAGCACCGGCUAAAUACGUGCCAGCAGCCUAAUCUGAGCGGGCUGGCAAGGC
rnacentral:rRNA from 1 species